AGUUGCUUUCAGUUUAAAAUAAUGCUUUAGCAAAGUGGCAUAUUUUGGGGUGCCAAUUCUGAGCUUCUUAUAUUUAUGGCUUUUUUUUUUUUUUUUUUUUUGAGACAGAGUGUUAAGCCACCUGGUUUCUCUGUACUGGGAGAUUCAUGUACCUUUGUCCAGGUUUUCUUAGUUUUUAAAGCGUACUCAAGUGAACUGGGCUUUUUAAAAUGUAGUUUCUCAUGUUUGAGAAUCACUCAGAACUUUGGUCACUUCACCUCCAAGAGUUUUUUACUUCAAUACCUUUCUAUAAAGAAAGUAGUGUGUUGUGACUUUGUCAGAAUUUUCUUUCUUUACAAGAGGUGAAAAUUCUUUUUUUUUUUUUUUUUUUUUUUGAGAUGGAGUCUUGCUCUGUCACCCA
rnacentral:lncRNA from 10 species